UGGCCCUUCAGUCUUUGAUCCGCAGUCGGCGCGGAGUGUGUGUGCGUUACCCUCGAGCGUACUCGAGAGAUAGCCAAACGAAAUAUCGUUUCCACUGGUCGUGCGCGAGAGAAGAGGGGAGUAACACGGUGGUGCCAGUAACUUCUGACUACGCUCGACGAACGUAACGCGGGUGCACGGUUCGCCGCAAGUAUCCCUUGCGCCAAGAGUGAUCGUCACGCGACCGGGAGAUAUACCUCUCUCGACCGAUUAACGAGAGUACACUCCGUCUCGAUCGUUAUCCCGUGAUACGUUUCUUUGAGUUACCGUUUUCGAGGAUAAUCGGUUACCGAUAAAAGCGACCACGGUGUCCUUUCACCUGCACCCCUGGGGAUUUUCGUAGCACACGCUGCUCACGCUCCACCGGCACGGCACGGAUUUGCGUUCGGUUCACAACCCCCUGACCCAAUUACUCUUCCCUUACCCGUGUGCCGGCUGACAAUCAGCCGCUUGUACGGAGCUGCAAAAACACAAAUUAUCCGUGUCAUCGGGAAUGUACGUUUAGCGGUGCACCGUUGCUGAACGUUGCCGAGGAUAGUAUCCGUCAUCCGCCAGGGAAAUAACAGUAACGACGAUUUUUUCCAGUUUGUGCAGAGUGACCGAUGGGAAUUCGUCGAGAGUUCCUGUACAGUGUGUUCGCGUCGUAGAGUGCAGUGAAAAGGAUACAUUGGAUCAAUUUUAACUGUGAAAUACACUGAACUAGCACGCGUUUCGAUCACCGUCAGCUACGUUUAUACUAAACAAAUAUUCCUUUGAAUCAUUGUUAACCCCACGAAGGUUAUAUUCACUUUCAAUCGUGGAGACCGAAAUUGAUAGAUCAAUAACAAAUUUAAAAUACUGAUUACCAUCGACUCCGCGGAAAUCAUUUGAAAUUCCUUCCCAUUUGCAAAAUACUCCUCUGAAUCUUCACCGAAUUAUAUUCACCUUCAAAUCACAGAGGUUGACCAGGCGAACCAAACUGAGCCUUCAGAGUCACCAUUGAUAAACUCUAAUUAGCAAUCAUAAACGAGUACAAAUAAUCGUGUAUGAAUUUGUAUCGGCAUUGAUACAUCGUUAAUCGUCGUUGCCCCGUGACAUGCUGACAUCGUGAAGAGAAGAAGAAGGUACGGUGACCCGCUCGUGGAAGGAUUUCUAUGCGGAUCGCGGGCCGUCCGCUGGAAAUCUGACGGCCCGUCGUUCCGGUUUGCGUGGCAGCCUGUCGUUGUCGUUGCCGAGCAAGCGAAAGCAAUAUCUGGUCAAGUACAAACGUAAAGAGGAGAAGGAUAAAUCGAAGGAGGUCAGGGGUGAGAGGAAGGAGGAGCGAGGCUCCUCGUGGGCCGGACUCUUGGAGAAUAGUCGCAAGAAGGGUGCAACGGUGAAGGGUAACGGUGGAUUCGGCGAUUAUUCGGCGGCGGGAGAGUUUGAAGUUUGGGGCGAGGAGCAACACGCGUCGGAUGGUGUAGAACGACAGGUGGCGAGGCCGCCUUCGCGGCAGCAACGAUGCGAAGGCGGUUCGUCCCUGAGACCGUUGCUUCACGUCGCCCAUUGUGAACUCCAUUCGCCUCGCGAGCGCGAAUUGCUACGGCUCGAUCAUCUCGAGGCGCUCGACCACAAAACCCUCGAUCACGAUUCCUAUUCGAUGAUGGAGAACUUUCACAGCCCCGUACCACCGCCGCUGCCUCGUCGUCAUGUCCGGUAAGUCUACUGUUCGCAUGGAGUUCUUUUCUCGUGAUCGAAGAGAGUGGUAUGUACUUUUUUGUUCUUUAUAUUAUAAAGUUACAUGUAUUUGAUUUCAUUGAUUGAAAUUGUAGAUAUUAUACAUUUGUAUAUGUAUAUUAUGGUUGAGGAUCGAUGGCGAGCGAUAUCGGGAACCGUGGAACAGACGCAAAUUAAUUGGUUAUGGAAAUACGGUUUUAAGCCAUGAAAAAUGGAAUAUUAAUUAGAAUGUUUCAUUUUCUCUUGCGUUAUAUUUUUUCUGCCUUCUGGUUUAUCCAUUUUUCAAUUGAUUGCAAUUAAUGUUAGGAGAAUUUGGUUCUUUGAAUAUUUAAUUCGAAUCUCACAUAACAAUUCUAUUUCAAAUAGAAUUCGAGAGGUAGUUUAGACUUAGAUAUUGCAUUAAGUAAUUGGAGUACUAUGUCCAUCCAAACUGUUGUUUGUAGAUGAAAAUUCAAACAAUACAACAAUUUGAAUCGUUUAAUCUAAUAAUAGAUGGUUGUGAUAUUUUAGUGAUUAAAUUACUAUCCAAAUGUUAAAUAAUCAGUGUGCAAACACGUUAAUCUAAAAAUGGCAGAACGAGCGAAUAAAGUGUCCGUCUUUGAAUGUUUUAAAUUAUCCUAAAAGGUAGAAUUUUCAACAAAGAAAAAGGCGUUCUACAUUUUCAAGGACUCGUUAUUUUUAAAUUUCACAAUGCUCCGACAUCUCUUUAACCGUUCCAAAAAUGCAAUUGCGGUCUCGCGUUUGUGCAGUCUAGGUCUUCUCGCGACAACAUAUUAAGCAGCGUGAGUUGCAAAUACGAGACGCAUUAAGUAAGCGAAUAAAGUAUUCCGUUGCAUGCAUGUAACACACGUUCUGUUUCUCGUUUUCGUGCGACGUGCACCACCGCGACAUAUUUCGUAUGUAAUUCUUAUGCAAGAUUGCCGUGCGCGUCCGCUAGGGGAAAAUUAGUGACGGACCCUAGGGAUAAAAUUACUGACGACUGCUGGGGACGAAGUUAGCGAUGCCCCGUUAGGGAUGAAAUUAGAGAGGACCACCAGGGACUGGAUUAGGGAUGCAUACAGGAAACAACGUUAAUGAUGGCCAUCGAUUGUAAACGAAAACGAAUAUGAAACGAAUUUUGGCUGAAAAAUUGAAUUUUUGUAAACGAUCGAAAUUAAUCGUCCACCGACGUUUGCAAGGCUACGAAUACAAAAUCGUCCUCAAGUAUUUCGGUGUAAUCGAAGCGGAACACGUUGUUCCUCGGUUUUGGACAAAAGUCAUGACGUAUGCAAAACAAGAAGUGCAUAAUAUUUCCGGUGCCACGUGCAGGGGAAACGGCAGCACCACGAAGAGUAGUGACCGGUCGGCAGCGUCACGUCGUCGGAUCAAUAUCGGCCGGGAAUAGAAAACAGAGAGGACGAAGAGGGAAAAGCGAGGAAGGACCGUGUGUAGCUGGACAAGGAAGCGUAAACGAGGCGACGUUGCUCGACUGAUCGAAUUUUUUUUUUUCUUUUUUUUUUGGAACGGACAACUUGCACACGCCAACUCUUGACCGCGUCCAACUUUUCUCAGACUGAUCAAUUUUUCCAUGCGAUCCAGUUUUUCCGUGCCGACGUAGCCCAGACUGCAUGAAAAUCGCGUAAAGUUCGCAGUGAUCGAAAUUUUUCGACCCACUCGAAUACGAAGUAGCGGGGGAGAAAAUAGAGAAUACUUUCGUCGGGACAGUUUGCAAGCCUGCUACCACGUACUAGGAAAUAUCUAGGGAAUUCGACAUUUUCGUUUCAAUUCUGACGUUCUUCGAGCUUGCCACGCUUACCCGAGACUUUGAGUUUGAUCGAAUUCGUCGCUGAAAGGGGGAAGGAAGUUUCCGGGAACGUUGAAGAAGAAAACGGCGUCGGGGAAAAAUGGGCCAACUGUCGUUUUAUUAAAAUUCCCUGUUUUCGAAGGAUUUUAGUUGCGACGCGCAGCUUACAUAAAGAUCUUUCGGUUUCAUUGUACCACGAGUCGAACUUAAAAACUUGUCGGUUUAAAAGCUUAUUAAUUUUUAAUAUAAAAAAAUCGGUUUAUAUUCUUUGCGGAGAAAAUGAUAUUAAGAUGGUCGUUUUUUUUUUU